UCCCAGCUAGCUCAGUCAAUAGAGCAUGAGACUCUUAGUCUCAGGGUGGUGGGUUUGAGCCCCACGUUGAGCA
rnacentral:tRNA from 1 species